rnacentral:rRNA from 1 species
GACGAACGCUGGCGGCGUGCCUAAUACAUGCAAGUCGAACGCAGUGGGGACGGGUGAGUAACAAGUGGGUAACGUCACAUCAGAGGGAAUAAAACUUGGAAACAGGUGCUAAACCGAUACUGAUGGAUGGACGCGGGGUGCAUUAGCUAGUUGGUGAGGUAACGGCUCACAAAGGCCACGAUGCAUAGCCGCCCUGAGAGGUUGAUCGGCCACACUGGGACUGAGACACGGCCCAGACUCCUACGGGAGGCAGCAGUAGGGAAUCUUCGGCAAUGGACGAAAGUCUGACCGAGCCACGCCGCGUGAGUGAAGAAGGUUUUCGGAUCGUAAAACUCUUUUGUUGAAGAAGCGGUAUCUAACCAGAAAGCCCCGGCUAACUACGUGCCAGCAGCCGCGGUAAUUC